AACGCACGAGACCUGCGGACCUGCGGAAGGAUCAUUACAGAGUUUUCUAAACUCCCAAACCUUUGUGAACUUACCACUGUUGCCUCGGCGGAAGCUAUUGGGGUUACCCUGUAGCGACCGCCGGUGGACCAACCCAACUCUUGUAAUUUUGAGAAAUCUGAGAGUCUUAUACAAAUAAGUCAAAACUUUCAACAAUGGAUCUCU
rnacentral:misc_RNA from 1 species